rnacentral:tRNA from 1 species
GGGAUUGUGGCUCAGAGGGAGAGCACUUGCCUAGCAUGCAUGAGGCAUUGGGUUUGAUCCUCAGCCCCA